GACGAACGCUGGCGGCGUGCUUAACACAUGCAAGUCGAACGAGUGGCGAACGGGUGAGUAACACGUGGGUGACCUGCCCUGCACUGCGGGAUAGCAUGGGCAACUGGGUGUAGUUCCUGAUAGUGUGGGAUGGACCUGCGGCCUAUUAGCUUGUUGGUGGGGUAAUGGCUACCAAGGCGCGACGGGUAGCCGGCCUGGGAGGGUGGGCGGCCACAGUGGGACUGAGACACGGCCCAGACUCCUACGGGAGGCAGCAGUGGGGAAUAUUGGACAAUGGGCGAAAGCCUGAUCCAGCCAUGCCGCGUGUGUGAAGAAGGCCUUCGGAUUGUAAAGCACUUUAAGUGGGGAGGCGUUACCAACAGAAUAAGCACCGGCUAACUUCGUGCCAGCAGCCGCGGUAAUAC
rnacentral:rRNA from 1 species